UACGGAGGGAGCUAGCGUUUUUCGGAAUUACUGGGCGUAAAGCGCACGUAGACGGCUUUUUAAGUCAGGGGUGAAAUCCCGGGGCUCAACCCCGGAACUGCCCUUGAAACUGGGAAGCUAGAAUCUUGGAGAGGCGAGUGGAAUUCCGAGUGUAGAGGUGAAAUUCGUAGAUAUUCGGAAGAACACCAGUGGCGAAGGCGACUCGCUGGACAAGUAUUGACGCUGAGGUGCGAAAGCGUGGGGAGCAAACAGG
rnacentral:rRNA from 1 species